CUGAAGAGAAAUUCUACCCUGGGACCUCUGCCCCCAAGGAAGUAAUUAAAAUCACCAUAGCCUGGGGUGACCAUCUAGAUAAUGGAGAUUGUAAUUUUGGCAUAAGAUGCCCUCUCUCGGCUGUAGAUUUUCAUCUAUAACACACAGGUGAGAUGAUCCUUCAGGGUUCCUGUUUCAUGAAAGAGUCUGGGAGGCAUUCU